rnacentral:lncRNA from 1 species
AGUAAGUUCAUUCUAUUCAAAUUAGGUAUCCUUUGGAAUAGGAAACGUUUUCAGCCAUUGUACAUUAUUGAACUUUUAUUUUGUCUACCGUGUACAAAGUACCUGUGAGAUGGGGAUACAAAGAAGGGGCAACUGAGACAAACAGGUGUUGAGAAAUUUGCUCAAGAUUACACAACCAAGAUGUAGUGAAGCUGGGAGAGGAACCCAGACAAUCAGCCUCUGGAGUCCUUUCUGUGUACAUGGACUUGAGAGAGCACUAAUGACCACCUUACGCAGACCUAUAAGGCCAGGCUAAGGAGCUUGAAUUUUUACAUUUUCCAAAUUUUGGGCUCCAGUCGAUUCUUGUGUAUUACGCUGUGAGCAAGACUUGCAUGUCGUCACAGAGAACGGGGCACUAUCCCUGAUAAAGAUUGUGGGAGUUGGCUUCCUACAGCAUCGAUCACAUGGCUUUAACCCACGAGCAAGAUGGCUGAAGCUGAAGAAUGGGCUGGAUCACAAAAAUAGAUUUUCUG